UGGGGAAUAUUGGACAAUGGGCGAAAGCCUGAUCCAGCCAUGCCGCGUGUGUGAAGAAGGUCUUCGGAUUGUAAAGCACUUUAAGUUGGGAGGAAGGGCAUUAACCUAAUACGUUAGUGUUUUGACGUUACCGACAGAAUAAGCACCGGCUAACUCUGUGCCAGCAGCCGCGGUAAUACAGAGGGUGCAAGCGUUAAUCGGAAUUACUGGGCGUAAAGCGCGCGUAGGUGGUUUGUUAAGUUGGAUGUGAAAUCCCCGGGCUCAACCUGGGAACUGCAUUCAAAACUGACUGACUAGAGUAUGGUAGAGGAUGGUGGAAUUUCCUGUGUAGCGGUGAAAUGCGUAGAUAUAGGAAGGAACACCAGUGGCGAAGGCGACCACCUGGACUAAUACUGACACUGAGGUGCGAAAGCGUGGGGAGCAAACA
rnacentral:rRNA from 1 species